rnacentral:lncRNA from 1 species
UAGAAUUUAAAAUGUUAAAUAGGAUUUAAGCUCAUGGUCUUGAUGUUCAUCUUGUAGGAUGAACAAAUUCAUCAAUCAUUAAUCUCAAUCUUAUUUUAUUAUUUAUUUGAUCAUCCGAAUCAAAAACGAGUUUUAUGCUCUCUUUAAGCAAGGAUGCCUAAGGCUUAAUUUGAUUUUAUCUCAGAAUCAAAGCAUGAUUAUUGGUUUCAUAUUGUUUGGCCUCUGAAAUGAAGGUUCAUGCGCCACUGGGAAUGGCGAACACCAUAUGUAAUGGUGCACGGAUCUUGCCCUAAUCAGAGAACUCAAAAUAGAUGUUUUAGAGCCUUCUGGGAAGAAGUGACGCAGGGACCAUGCUUGUGGCGUGCGCCAUUACACUAUGGCUUGCGCCACAGCGUGUAGCUGGCGCCACUAACACCUAGAAUGCCUCCUUUAUGGUACUAGACUUGAAAACGAUGAUUUAACACCAAAAUGAAAAGGAAAAGAGGAGGAGAAAAGGUUUAAACUCUCAGCGUAUCUUGUUUUGAAGAAAACUUUGGGAUUUGAUCGCAAAUGGUAAGAGAUAUCCAACCUUGAUCUUUGAUCAAUGAUCUGAGAUUAGUUCGAUUGAUUUGUGUUUCGGGAAAUAUUG